CAGUACUUUAAUGAGCAUGUCAAGUUUGGUGGGAUGCAUCAAUAAUUUGGUGGCUAAGAAGUUGGCGCUGAGAUUGAGGAAUGUAGUGGGAUUAGUGUUUUUGGAUUCCCAAAAUACUUUUGUUAAUGGGAGAUAAAUUUUAGUUGCGGUUCUCAUUGCUAAUGAAGUGGUAGAUUCAAGAAUUAGGAGUGGAGCCUUAGGUGUGACAUGCAAACUAGACAUAGAGACUGCAUAUGAUAAUAGGAAACAAGAAAUGCAAAAAGUUGUAGAAAAGAAUGCAGAAUUGGAGAACCAAUUUACACAAUUAACAACUACUAUUGAUCAACUCAAGUCUUCAUCUUCUCAUGCAAGAAACUGACUUGACCACUCCCAUGGACGCAGAACAUGGAAUCCAAGGCCACGAGACAAAAGAUCUUGUUAGCUGCUGCCUCAUAGUUUUUAUUUUUUUAGUUUCUGUUCUCAUUGGUAUGAAUCUCUAAGUAGUAGCUCAAGAUAUUUCUGUUCUCAUUCUUAUAUUUUAGUUUUUGUAUUAGUUUGGUCAUUAUAAUUUUAAUUGGUUCAUUUUAACUUUAAA